rnacentral:tRNA from 1 species
GUUUUGAUAGUUUAAAAAAAACAUUAAUUUUGUAAAUUAAAUUUACGUAAAGUUCAAAACU